GUUUAUAGCCAUGCCACCCUGAACAUGCCCGAUCUCGUCUGAUGUUGCAAGCUAAGCAGGGUCAGGCCUGGUUAGUACUUGGAUGGGAGACCACCUAAGAAUACAAGGUACUGUAGGCA
rnacentral:rRNA from 1 species